GAUACUGCGGUCUUAAAGAAUGCGGCCCCGGGGCUGGUUCAAUACCGGGGCACGGUACCCAUCCCUAAAAUCAACGGACAGUGUGUCUGUUUGAUUUGCACUGAAGAUGUUGCCGUGAUGAAAGAGUAUAAUGUCCGUCGGCACUAUGUCCAAGCAUCAGAGCAGCUAUGCUUCGUACACAGGUGCCGAACGAGCACAGAAAUCCAAGCAAAUGCCAACUAGCCUGCAAGCUCAACAGUUUUUUUUUUUCCCAUCGCGGCUUCAUAAGAGCAAAGGGCACGGGCUUAGGAAGUAAAGGAAGCUCCUAUGAGCUGUCUCCGUCUGACACCUACAAGGAUGCUGUUUGCAAGGCCAUGUUUGCAUACUUCACAGAGAUAGAGUGAACCAAAAAGGUGAAGAAAAUGCAUUCUGAACUGUGAAAACGUAUUCCCUUUAUGUAAAAAAGAACUUGUUGUUUUGUUUUUGGAAUUUCUUUUGUUCAUAGCUGCAUAUUUUGUCACAGAGUGUAAUUGUAAAAUGAAGCUUUUUAAAUUGUGUGCGUUUAAUGUUAAAAUUGUCCUCGUUGGUCACCCAUAAGCCCUUUUUUUGGGUCUACUUUUCUGAGAAAACAGUCGACUCUUUAUAAACUACAAAAUCGUGCACUCUGCCAGUCAACCACACUAACGGCUACGUAUGUAAAGAUCUGCUGGCUUCAGCUGCUCAAUAAACCCGUUCUGAACUGCC